ACUAGGGUUUCAUCAGAUCUGUCAUGUCUACAGAAUUAUCUAGGGUUUCAUCCAAUCUGUCCUGUUUACAGAAUUAUCUAGGGUUUCAUCCAAUCUGUUAUAAGAUCUGUCAUGUCUACAGAAUUAUUUAGGCUUUCAUCAGAUCUUUCAUGUCUACAGAAUUAUCUAGGGUUUCAUUAGAUCUGUCAUGUUAACAGAAUUAUCUAAGAUUUCAUUAGGACUAGAAUCUCAUCUUCAGUAUUAGCUAGGGUCUCACUAGAACUAUCAUAUCUCCAGUAUUAGCAGGAGUUACAUUGGCAGGUUCCAGUAGUAACAAAGUUCAUUGUGUGAUUUGUCAAGGUUUUUGAAUUUUGAUGAUGUAACUUUCAAAUAAUGUCUGACUCCAUCAAUGAAAUGUAGUUUGAAAAGAGUUGUACAUUUAGUACACACACCAACCUGUGUUGAUAUUCGGAGUACCAAAUGUUUCGUUUGCUUGACCUGCAAUGUCCACACAAUUUUUUUUUAAAUCUUAAAGAAAUAAUUUGUUAAGGCAGGAUACUGAAAGACAUGCAGAUGAACUGACCGUGUAGAACUGACCAGUGUUGAGAUAAACUGACUAAUGUGUUGAACUGACUAGUGUGAUGUGACUCAGUGUCAUGUAGACACUAUUUAAUCUGCUUUCUUUGAGAAGAACUGAACUAUCUAUGGCAUUGUCUUAAGUUUAGAUCUGACAAGAAAACUCUCUAUACAGUCAGCAUUACCACUUAUGCAUUUAAUGUGAAAGUCUUUAGAGAGAAACAUGUUAUUCAGCUUUAGUUAGUGAUGUUUGCUUUUGUUCCAUGUUCCCCUGUUCAAGUCUUUAGUUAGUGAUGUCUACUUUUGUUCCAUGUUCCUCUGUUCAAGUCCUUAGUUAGUGAUGUCUAUUUUUGUUCCAUGUUCAUUAGUUGUUUUUUUUAACUUAGCCAUCCAGUUAUGUUAGUUGACUUAGACAUUCAAUUGUAUAAGUUGACUUAGACAUUC